rnacentral:rRNA from 1 species
AGAAACCAACAGGGAUUGCCUUAGUAACGGCGAGUGAAGCGGCAAAAGCUCAAAUUUGAAAUCUGGCACCUUCGGUGUCCGAGUUGUAAUUUGAAGAAGGUAACUUUGGGAUUGGCUCUUGUCUAAGUUCCUUGGAACAGGACGUCACAGAGGGUGAGAAUCCCGUGCGAUGAGAUGACCAAUCCUAUGUAAAGUGCUUUCGAAGAGUCGAGUUGUUUGGGAAUGCAGCUCUAAGUGGGUGGUAAAUUCCAUCUAAAGCUAAAUAUUGGCGAGAGACCGAUAGCGAACAAGUACAGUGAUGGAAAGAUGAAAAGAACUUUGAAAAGAGAGUGAAAAAGUACGUGAAAUUGUUGAAAGGGAAGGGCUUGAGAUCAGACUUGGUAUUUUGCAUUCCUUACCUUCGUGGUGGGGUUCCUUGCAGUUUACUGGGCCAGCAUCGGUUUGGAUGGUGGGAUAAUGACAUUGGAAUGUGGCUCUGCUUCGGUAGAGUGUUAUAGCCAGUGUUGAUACCGCCUGUCUAGACCGAGGACUGCGUCUUUGACUAGGAUGCUGGCAUAAUGAUCUUAAGUCGCCCGUC